GCUGGCUCCGCCCACCGCGUGGUCCAAGGACCACCACCCGCCACCGCCGCGCGAGCGUACUAUUGCGGCCGCCCUCUGCUGCGCCUGAAGAGAGAGGCGACUCUACAAGCCUCACAGCAUGCACUGUUACUAAAAAGACGAUGCGUCCUCCUGGACCUGAGAUCUGUGUGAUCGUGGGAAAGCGACGAAAAACGAACAAAGGAACAGUAAAUGGAGUAACUUGGCUAGAAUAUGGCAGUAACUACAAGGCAUGUUCUGCUCUGGCACGAAGACAACCCACCUGAGGCACCAGACACAUGAGUGAAGCCAUCUUGGACAUCCCAGUCACAGCCAAACUCACUCCUGAGUGCAUCUGCAUGAUGAACCCAGCAAUCCCCACCAUGGAGCAAAGGAUCCAUCCAGUCAACCCAAAGAAUCGUGAAAAAUAAUAAAUUGUUGUUUUAAAGUUCUUCAGUUUGGGAAUAGCUUGUUAUGCAACAAUACAUAAUUAAUACACUGGUCUCCCACUUUCAAGUUUGAUUAACUUUCAGCUAUUUUUCACAUAGCAGGCAGAGUGAUUCCAUUAAAACAUAUAUCAGAUAAUGUCACUGCACUAAGUAAACUCUACAAGGACUCUCAUCUCCCUCAGAGUAAAGGUCACAGUUGUUACAAGGCCCUACGUAAUGUGGCCCUCACCACCACUCCAUUACCUUUUUCUUAUCUACUAUUUGCUAACUUUGCUUUGUCCUCUUUUCUGUUCUGAAACAGGCUAGGCAUGGUCCUGCCUCAAGGCCUUUGCACCACCUACUCUGUCUGCUUGGAUUGUUCUUCCCACAGAUUUCUUGCUCCCUUCUUCCUUCAUGAAGAAAUGUCAUGAAAUGUCCUUCCUUCAUGAAAUGUCACCUUCUCAUUUGAGGCCUUCUGUAGUACCCCAAAGAAUGGUCCCCAAAGAUGUCCACCAGAAAGUAAACUCCACGUAAAUAAGGAUUGUCUGUUUUAUUCUUUGCAGUAUCUCCACUGCCUAGGAUAGCAUCUGCACAUACUGCACACUCAGUACACAUUUGUCGAAUGAGGUCAGGCGCGGUGGUUCACACCUGUAAUCCCAGCACUUUGGGAGGCCAAGGCGGGUGGAUCACCUUAGGUUAGGAGUUCGAGACCAGCCUGGCCAACAUGGUGAAACCAUGUCUCUACUAAAAAUACAAAAAGUAGUUGGGCAUGGUGGCAUGUGCCUGUAAUCCCAGCUACUUGGGAGGCUGUGGCAGGAGAGUCACUUGAAUCUGGGAGGUGGAGGUUGCAGUGAGCCAAGAUUGUGCCACUCCACUCCAGCCUGGGCAACAGAGUAAGACUCUGGCUCAAAAAAAAAAAAAAAGAAAGAAAGAAAAAAAUACAUAUUUGUUGAAUGAACAAGUGAAUGAACAAAUGUUAUGCAAAUAUAUUAUCCCUAUCUGUAGCUUGCCUUUUAAUUUUGUUAUAGUAACUUUGGUUGAAAGGAAGUUCUAAAAUCUUUAAUAUAAUCAAAUGUAUCAAUCUUUUCAACUUGUAUAUUUUAUGCCUUGUUUAAUCAACUCUGUCUUAUAUCAAAAUUAUAAAAGUAUUACCCUGUAUUUUCUUAUAAAAGUUUUGAAUCUUUUCUUUUUCCACUUAGAUCAUUAAUCAACUUGGAAUUGGUGUUACAUAGUGGUAAAUGAUUGUCCCAGGACCACAUAUUGAAUAUUUUAUCAUUUCUCCACUGAUUUGUAACAACACAGUGGUUAUAUAUCCUGUUUAUACAUGGGUCUGUCUCUAGGUUUCCGGUUCUGUUCCAGUGGUCUGUUUGCUUACCCUUCUACUAAUAGCACAUUGGCCUAAUUACUAUAACUUUAUAAUGUGGCUCAAUCUCUGGAAAACCACAUACCUCUCCCCUCCUCUUUCUACAAUAUUCUUAUAUUUUGCAACUGGCCUUUACUGUUUUGUAUUAUUUUUAACAAUACCUUAUAUACCCACAUAUAUUAGAUGCUCUUAGCAUCACUAUUUAUAGCAUCUAAAAAUUGGAAAUUAUUUAAAUGUCCACCAAUACAUUAGUUAAAUAAAUUAGGUUAUACUCACAUAGUGGAAUACGAUACUGGCUUUCAAAAGAAUGAGGUAAAUUUACAUAUCUACAUUAAAAGGUAUUCAAGAUAUCAGAAAAAAGGGCAAGUUGCAAAACAAUAUUUAGAGUAAGAACCUAUUCAUGAAUUUUUUUAAUGUAAUUUGUGUUACAUGUAGAAAAAAAUAUGGGCAAGAAUACAUCAAAAUGUUAACAGUGGUUAUAUCUGAGGAUCAGGAAUAGGAAGAACAUUCGCUUUCUAAGGGUUAUUAUGGCACAGACUAACUGGGAUCCAGGAAGCUACUAUGGUCAACUGGUAAGUGUGGGAGUUUAUUGGGAUUAGGUGAUGAACAGGGUUGUUGUUUUGUUUUUUGUAUGCCUCAUGGUGCGCUCAAUGGGACUCUUAGCCCAUUAUAUUGUCACUUCCUGAAUAAAUAAAUAUAUAGUUGGAAUACAAGUCCUCAACAAUUGGCAGAAUUUUCACUUUGACCUUCUGAUCUGUGAAAUAUAUACUAUAAUUGUAGGAAGGACCAAGUGGAAAUCUUUGAAGCUCUUCCUAUCAAAAGGCAAAGCCAAAGCAAUACUACAUUCCUAGAGAAAUGUGAGGCUAUUACCAUCAUCAAAGACUUGUAAGAAACAGGAACGACUAUUCUUAGCACAUCCCUGUUUCACUUCCUUCUUUGGCCAGUGCAAAAUGAGUCUUGGACAGUGAGAGUGUUAAUUAGGCAGUGAUUCCAUUUGCAGGUGUUCUAGGUAGAGUCUCUUUUCGCAAGUAAAUCAGCACAGCCCCCAGCAUCUGAAAUUAUAGCCAUUGAUCUAACUGGUUCAUUUUUCUUUCCAUAAAUAAGAAAAGAACAUCAGAAGUAGUUUACUUUUACCUCACAGGGAUACCAGAACAUACUCAUUUCUUAUGUCGAGGCUGUCGGCUCAACAGCUUUGUGCAAGAAUUCAGUCCACUUUGCUUUGGUCCACUUAUCAAGAG
rnacentral:lncRNA from 1 species